AGGUAAUGUGUUGUUCUUGGCCCUCCAUUUUCUCUAAUUUCUCGUUUGUUUCUCGAAUUCAUCUUCUCUUGGGAAGUUUACUACACUGACCUUCGUGUCUCAAUAAUCUUUCAGAUCAUUUUGAGGAUGUUGUGGCACUACUUUUCAAAUAUAUUGACCUUCUACGACAAGCUGGUGCCUGUAAAUGGAUAUUUGAUGAGCUUUCUGCUAUGUCUGAGACUGAUUUCCAUUAUCAAGACAAGAAUUCUGCCAUCGACUAUGUGGUAGAUGUUGCAUCGAAUAUGCAGAAAUGGUCCCAUAAUACUAGAAGUAUACACCACACUAGCUCUAACAGUGGAGAUUAUUUUACAAAGUCCCAUCAUAUCAUCUAUACUAGUAAGGACGUUGUGUACGCUCCAAAGUUUUCUUUUUCACUUUUUUCUUCUUCUUCUAAAUAGUAGUGUCUUUUGCAAUUGGCUAAUGAUUGUAUCCUCGCCUUUGAAACUUUCAAGCUCCUUUCUCCCAAGCAGAGCACCUCUUCCACGAUGUUACUGAAUCAAGUUAAUGAGAAGUUCCUUUUUAUUUAUUUUUUAAAUUUUUACAUGGUAUCUGAGCUUCUGCAACCUUGGUAGUGGCUCAAAUAGUUUUUGCUACUGGCUGGCGAUGUUGGCCAGUGUGUGUCACUCGCCCGAUAAAUCUUUUCUUCUUUUCUUCUUCCUUUCGGUGUCCUGUGCUGCUCGUCUCUUCGGUAGCCAGUGCUGCUAUCUCUGGGAAAACGUCCAGGUAUCACUUCUCUCCCCUGCAACUAUUCAUGAUCGCUCCCUCUAGCAACCGUUCAGUCACCAUUCCUCUCUCUAGGAUUGUUCAAGCACGGUUCAUCUCUCCGGUGACUGCUGCUGCUCCUUUUAUGAGACUGACUCCCUCAUCCAAACUUUGAAUUUCUUGUCAUUGUUCUGCCAAUUCGAGUUACGCUCUAAGGUCUUGGUGUUUUGCAACAUCAUACUUCACAACCAACGACUUUCUGAAGCAGGGGCGAAUGCACCCUAGUCCAAGCGGUGUC